rnacentral:rRNA from 1 species
GAUGAACGCUGGCGGCGUGCCUAACACAUGCAAGUCGAACGGACCAUGUCUUCGGAGAUGGUUAGUGGCGGACGGGUGCGUAACACGUAGGUGACCUGCCCUGGAGUGGGGAAUAAUCCCGCGAAAGCGGGACUAAUACCGCAUACGUUCGGUGGUUCAUUCCGCCGAGUAAAGCCUUCGGGCGCUCUAGGAUGGGCCUGCGGCGGAUUAGCUUGUUGGUGGGGUAAUGGCCUACCAAGGCGAUGAUCCGUAGGGGGCGUGAGAGCGUGACCCCCCACAUUGGCACUGAGACACGGGCCAAACUCCUACGGGAGGCAG